UUGACGCUGGCGGCAGGCCUAACACAUGCAAGUCGUACCNAGGCACCCAAUCNNCUUGCUNGUUCGCUGACGAGUGGCGGACGGGUGAGUAAUGUCUGGGAAACUGCCUGAUGGAGGGGGAUAACUACUGGAAACGGUAGCUAAUACCGCAUAACGUCGCAAGACCAAAGAGGGGGACCUUCGGGCCUCUUGCCAUCGGAUGUGCCCAGAUGGGAUUAGCUAGUAGGUGGGGUAACGGCUCACCUAGGCGACGAUCCCUAGCUGGUCUGAGAGGAUGACCAGCCACACUGGAACUGAGACACGGUCCAGACUCCUACGGGAGGCAGCAGUGGGGAAUAUUGCACAAUGGGCGCAAGCCUGAUGCAGCCAUGCCGCGUGUAUGAAGAAGGCCUUCGGGUUGUAAAGUACUUUCAGCGGGGAGGAAGGGAGUAAAGUUAAUACCUUUGCUCAUUGACGUUACCCGCANAAGAAGCACCGGCUAACUCCGUGCCAGCAGCCGCGGUAAUACGGAGGGUGCAAGCGUUAAUCGGAAUUACUGGGCGUAAAGCGCACGCAGGCGGUUUGUUAAGUCAGAUGUGAAAUCCCCGGGCUCAACCUGGGAACUGCAUCUGAUACUGGCAAGCUUGAGUCUCGUAGAGGGGGGUAGAAUUCCAGGUGUAGCGGUGAAAUGCGUANAGAUCUGGAGGAAUACCGGUGGCGAANGCGGCCCCCUGGACNAANACUGACNCUCAGGUGCGAAAGCGUGGGGAGCAAACAGGAUUANAUACCUGGUAGUCCCNCCGUAACGAUGUCCACUUGGAGUUGUGCCCUUGAGGCGUGGCUUCCGANCUACNCGUUANUCCACNCCUGGGANUACGNCCCNAGUUNAACNCAAUGAUUGANGGGNCCCCCAACGGNGGACUGGGNUUUAUUCUUGCACNNNAAAACUUUCUGGCUGANUCCNNAAUUUCAAAAUGNNUGUGCCUCGAACUNAAAAGUCUCUU
rnacentral:rRNA from 1 species